rnacentral:rRNA from 1 species
AGCUGGUCUGAGAGGAUGACCAGCCACACUGGAACUGAGACACGGUCCAGACUCCUACGGGAGGCAGCAGUGGGGAAUAUUGCACAAUGGGCGCAAGCCUGAUGCAGCCAUGCCGCGUGUAUGAAGAAGGCCUUCGGGUUGUAAAGUACUUUCAGCGGGGAGGAAGGGAGUAAAGUUAAUACCUUUGCUCAUUGACGUUACCCGCAGAAGAAGCACCGGCUAACUCCGUGCCAGCAGCCGCGGUAAUACGGAGGGUGCAAGCGUUAAUCGGAAUUACUGGGCGUAAAGCGCACGCAGGCGGUUUGUUAAGUCAGAUGUGAAAUCCCCGGGCUCAACCUGGGACUGCAUCUGAUACUGGCAAGCUUGAGUCUCGUAGAGGGGGGUAGAAUUCCAGGUGUAG